ACUUAUUAGAAAUGGGAUCUUUAUAGCCCUUUAAAAUAUAAUAAUGUCCCAUAUCUCGAAAAUUCUGCAGUAAAAUGGUUUGAUAUGAGGUGUGCAUAUAGUAUGGGAUGUCCCUGAUAAGAACUGACUUUUGUUUUUUUCUACUUAUUAGAAAUGGGAUCUUUAUAGCCCUUUAAAGUGUAAUAAUGUCCCAUAUCUUGAAAAUGCUGGAGUAAAAUGGUUUGAUAUGAGGUGUGCAUAUAGUAUGGGACAUCCCUGAUAAGAACUGACUGUUGCUUUUUUCUACUUAUUAGAAAUGGGAUCUUUACAGCCCUUUAUAGUGUAAUAAUGUCCCGUAUCUUAAAAAUGCUGCAGUAAAAUGGUUUGAUAUGAGGUGUGCAUAUAGUAUGGGACGUCCCUGAUAAGAACUGACUAUUGUUUUUUUCUACUUAUUAGAAAUGGUGUCUUUAUAGCCCUCUAAAUCAUUGUAUUGUCCCAUAUCUGAAAAAUGCUGCAGUAAAAUGGUUUGAUAUGAGGUGUGCAAAUAGUAUGGGACAUCCCUUAUAGGAACAGACCAUUGUUUUUUUUCUACUUAUUAGAAAUGGGAUCUUUACAGCCAUUUAAAGUGUAAUAAUGUCCCAUAUCUCGAAAAUGCUGCAGUAAAAUGGUUUGAUAUGAGGUGUGCAUAUAGUAUGGCAUGUCCUUUAUAAGAACUGACCAUUGUUUUUUUCUACUUAUUAGAAAUUAUGUCUUUAUAGCCCUCCAAAUCACCAUUUGGACCCAUAUCUCAAAAAUGCUGCAGUAAAAUUGUUUGAUAUGAGGUGUGCAUAUAGUAUGGGAUGUCCCUGAUAAGAACUGACUUUUGUUUUUUUCUACUUAUUAGAAAUGGGAUCUUUACAGCCCUUUAAAGUGUAAAAAUGUCUCGUAUCUUAAAAAUGCUGCAGUAAAAUGGUUUCAUAUGAAGGGUGCAUAUAGUAUGGGACGUCCCUGAUAAGAACUGACUAUUGUUUUUUUCUACUUAUUAGAAAUGUUGUCUUUAUAGCCCUCUAAAUUGCCACAUGGACCCAUAUCUCAAAAAUGCUGCAGUAAAAUGGUUUGAUAUGAUUUGUGCAUAUAGUAUGGAAUGUCCUUUAUAAGAUCUGACCAUUGUUUUUUUCUACUUAUUAGAAAUGGGAUCUUCACAGCCCGUUAAAGUGUAAUAAUUUCCCAUUUCUGGAAAAAGCUGCAGUAAAAUGGUUUGAUAUGAGAUGUGCUCAUAGUAUGGGACGUCACUGAUAAGAACUGACUUUUGUUUUUUUCUACUUAUUAGAAAUGGGAUCUUUAUAGCCCUUUAAAGUGUAAUAAUGUCCCAUAUCUUGAAAAUGCUGGAGUAAAAUGGUUUGAUAUGAGGUGUGCAUAUAGUAUGGGACAUCCCUGAUAAGAACUGACUGUUGCUUUUUUCUACUUAUUAGAAAUGGGAUCUUUACAGCCCUUUAUAGUGUAAUAAUGUCCCGUAUCUUAAAAAUGCUGCAGUAAAAUGGUUUGAUAUGAGGUGUGCAAAUAGUAUGGGACAUCCCUUAUAGGAACAGACCAUUGUUUUUUUCUACUUAUUAGAAAUGGGAUCUUUACAGCCAUUUAAAGUGUAAUAAUGUCCCAUAUCUCGAAAAUGCUGCAGUAAAAUGGUUUGAUAUGAGGUGUGCAUAUAGUAUGGCAUGUCCUUUAUAAGAACUGACCAUUGUUUUUUUCUACUUAUUAGAAAUUAUGUCUUUAUAGCCCUCCAAAUCACCAUUUGGACCCAUAUCUCAAAAAUGCUGCAGUAAAAUUGUUUGAUAUGAGGUGUGCAUAUAGUAUGGCAUAUCCUUUAUAAGAACUGACCAUUGUUUUUUUCUACUUAUUAGAAAUGGGGUCUUUAUAGCCCUUUAAAGUGUAAUAAUGUCCCAUAUCUCAAAAAUGCUGCAGUAAAAGGGUUUGAUAUGAGGUGUGCAUAUAGUAUGGGAUGUCCUUUAUAAGAACUGACCAUUGUUUUUUUCUACUUAUUAGAAAUGAUGUCUUUAUAGUCCUCCAAAUCACCAUUUGGACCCAUAUCUCAAAAAUGCUGCAGUAAAAUGGUUUGAUAUGAGGUGUGCAUAUAGUAUGGGAUGUCCCUGAUAAGAACUGACUUUUGUUUUUUUCUACUUAUUAGAAAUGGGAUCUUUAUAGCCCUUUAAAGUGUAAUAAUGUCCCAUAUCUUGAAAAUGCUGCAGUAAAAUGGUUUGAUAUGAGGUGUGCAUAUAGUAUGGGACAUCCCUGAUAAGAACUGACUGUUGCUUUUUUCUACUUAUUAGAAAUGGGAUCUUUACAGCCAUUUAAAGUGUAAUAAUGUCCCAUAUUUUGAAAAUGCUGCAGUAAAAUGGUUUGAUAUGAGGUGUGCAUAUAGUAUGGGAUGUUCCUGAUAAGAACUGACUUUUGUUUUUUUCUACUUAUUAGAAAUGGGAUCUUUAUAGCCCUUUAAAGUGUAAUAAUGUCCCAUAUCUUGAAAAUGCUGCAGUAAAAUGGUUUGAUAUGAGGUGUGCAUAUAGUAUGGGACAUCCCUGAUAAGAACUGACUGUUGCUUUUUUCUACUUAUUAGAAAUGGGAUCUUUACAGCCAUUUAAAGUGUAAUAAUGUCCCAUAUCUCGAAAAUGCUGCAGUAAAAUGGUUUGAUAUGAGGUGUGCAUAUAGUAUGGGAUGUCCCUGAUAAGAACUGACUUUUGUUUUUUUCUACUUAUUAGAAAUGGGAUCUUUAUGACCCUUUAAAUUGUAAUAAUGUCCCAUAUCUUGAAAAUGCUGCAGUAAAAUGGUUUGAUAUGAGGUGUGCAUAUAGUAUGGGACAUCCCUGAUAAGAACUGACUGUUGCUUUUUUCUACUUAUUAGAAAUGGGAUCUUUACAGCCAUUUAAAAUGUAACAAUGUCCCAUAUCUCGAAAAUGCUGCAGUAAAAUGGUUUGAUAUGAGGUGUGCAAAUAGUAUGGGACAUCCCUUAUAGGAACAGACCAUUGUUUUUUUCUACUUAUUAGAAAUGGGAUCUUUACAGCCAUUUAAAGUGUAAUAAUGUCCCAUAUCUCGAAAAUGCUGCAGUAAAAUGGUUUGAUAUGAGGUGUGCAUAUAGUAUGGCAUGUCCUUUAUAAGAACUGACCAUUGUUUUUUUCUACUUAUUAGAAAUUAUGUCUUUAUAGCCCUCCAAAUCACCAUUUGGACCCAUAUCUCAAAAAUGCUGCAGUAAAAUUGUUUGAUAUGAGGUGUGCAUAUAGUAUGGCAUAUCCUUUAUAAGAACUGACCAUUGUUUUUUUCUACUUAUUAGAAAUGGGGUCUUUAUAGCCCUUUAAAGUGUAAUAAUGUCCCAUAUCUCAAAAAUGCUGCAGUAAAAGGGUUUGAUAUGAGGUGUGCAUAUAGUAUGGGAUGUCCUUUAUAAGAACUGACCAUUGUUUUUUUCUACUUAUUAGAAAUGAUGUCUUUAUAGUCCUCCAAAUCACCAUUUGGACCCAUAUCUCAAAAAUGCUGCAGUAAAAUGGUUUGAUAUGAGGUGUGCAUAUAGUAUGGGAUGUCCCUGAUAAGAACUGACUUUUGUUUUUUUCUACUUAUUAGAAAUGGGAUCUUUAUAGCCCUUUAAAGUGUAAUAAUGUCCCAUAUCUUGAAAAUGCUGCAGUAAAAUGGUUUGAUAUGAGGUGUGCAUAUAGUAUGGGACAUCCCUGAUAAGAACUGACUGUUGCUUUUUUCUACUUAUUAGAAAUGGGAUCUUUACAGCCAUUUAAAGUGUAAUAAUGUCCCAUAUUUUGAAAAUGCUGCAGUAAAAUGGUUUGAUAUGAGGUGUGCAUAUAGUAUGGGAUGUUCCUGAUAAGAACUGACUUUUGUUUUUUUCUACUUAUUAGAAAUGGGAUCUUUAUAGCCCUUUAAAGUGUAAUAAUGUCCCAUAUCUUGAAAAUGCUGCAGUAAAAUGGUUUGAUAUGAGGUGUGCAUAUAGUAUGGGACAUCCCUGAUAAGAACUGACUGUUGCUUUUUUCUACUUAUUAGAAAUGGGAUCUUUACAGCCAUUUAAAGUGUAAUAAUGUCCCAUAUCUCGAAAAUGCUGCAGUAAAAUGGUUUGAUAUGAGGUGUGCAUAUAGUAUGGGAUGUCCCUGAUAAGAACUGACUUUUGUUUUUUUCUACUUAUUAGAAAUGGGAUCUUUAUGACCCUUUAAAUUGUAAUAAUGUCCCAUAUCUUGAAAAUGCUGCAGUAAAAUGGUUUGAUAUGAGGUGUGCAUAUAGUAUGGGACAUCCCUGAUAAGAACUGACUGUUGCUUUUUUCUACUUAUUAGAAAUGGGAUCUUUACAGCCAUUUAAAAUGUAACAAUGUCCCAUAUCUCGAAAAUGCUGCAGUAAAAUGGUUUGAUAUGAGGUGUGCAUAUAGUAUGGGACGUCCCUGAUAAGAACUGAUUUUUGUUUUUUUCUACUUAUUAGAAAUGGGAUCUUUAUGACCCUUUAAAUUGUAAUAAUGUCCCAUAUCUUGAAAAUGCUGCAGUAAAAUGGUUUGAUAUGAGGUGUGCAUAUAGUAUGGGACAUCCCUGAUAAGAACUGACUGUUGCUUUUUUCUACUUAUUAGAAAUGGGAUCUUUACAGCCAUUUAAAAUGUAAUAAUGUCCCAUAUCUCGAAAAUGCUGCAGUAAAAUGGUUUGAUAUGAGGUGUGCAUAUAGUAUGGGACAUCCCUGAUAAGAACUGACUAUUGUUUUUUUCUACUUAUUAGAAAUGGUGUCUUUAUAGCCCUCUAAAUCAUUGUAUUGUCCCAUAUCUGAAAAAUGCUGCAGUAAAAUGGUUUGAAAUGAGGUGUGCAUAUAGUAUGGGACAUCCCAGAUAAGAACUGACUGUUGUUUUUUUCUACUUAUUAGAAAUGGGAUCUUUACAGCCAUUUAAAGUGUAAUAAUGUCCCAUAUCUCGAAAAUGCUGCAGUAAAAUGGUUUGAUAUGAGGUGUGCAUAUAGUAUGGCAUGUCCUUUAUAAGAACUGACCAUUGUUUUUUUCUACUUAUUAGAAAUGGGGUCUUUGUAGCACUCUAAAUCACCAUUUGGACCCAUAUCUCAAAAAUGCUGCAGUAAAAGGGUUUGAUAUGAGGUGUGCAUAUAGUAUGGGACAUCCCUUAUAGGAACAUACCAUUGUUUUUAUCUACUUAUUAGAAAUGGGAUCUUUAUAGCCCUUUAAAAUAUAAUAAUGUCCCAUAUCUCGAAAAUUCUGCAGUAAAAUGGUUUGAUAUGAGGUGUGCAUAUAGUAUGGGAUGUCCCUGAUAAGAACUGACUUUUGUUUUUUUCUACUUAUUAGAAAUGGGAUCUUUACAGCCCUUUAAAGUGUAAAAAUGUCUCGUAUCUUAAAAAUGCUGCAGUAAAAUGGUUUCAUAUGAAGGGUGCAUAUAGUAUGGGACGUCCCUGAUAAGAACUGACUAUUGUUUUUUUCUACUUAUUAGAAAUGUUGUCUUUAUAGCCCUCUAAAUUGCCACAUGGACCCAUAUCUCAAAAAUGCUGCAGUAAAAUGGUUUGAUAUGAUUUGUGCAUAUAGUAUGGAAUGUCCUUUAUAAGAUCUGACCAUUGUUUUUUUCUACUUAUUAGAAAUGGGAUCUUCACAGCCCGUUAAAGUGUAAUAAUUUCCCAUUUCUGGAAAAAGCUGCAGUAAAAUGGUUUGAUAUGAGAUGUGCUCAUAGUAUGGGACGUCACUGAUGAGAACUGACUAUUAUUUUUUUCUACUUAUUAGAAAUGGGGUCUUUAUAGCACUCUAAAUUGCCAUAUGGACCCAUAUCUCAAACAUGCUGCAGUAAAAUGCUUUGAUAUGAGGUGUGCAUAUAGUAUGGCAUGUGCUUUAUAAGAACUGACCAUUGUUUUUUUCUACUUAUUAUAAAUGGUGUCUUUAUAGCCCUCC